GUGGGGAAUCUUCCGCAAUGGACGAAAGUCUGACGGAGCAACGCCACGUGAGUGAAGAAGGUUUUCGGAUCGUAAAGCUCUUUCGUUAGGGACGAACGUGCUCUUUGUGAAUAAUGAGGAGUAAUGACGGUACCUAAAUAAGAAGCCACGGCUAACUACGUGCCAGCAGCCGCGGUAAUACGUAGGUGGCAAGCGUUGUCCGGAAUUAUUGGGCGUAAAGCGCGCGCAGGCGGGAUAUCAAGUCUGUCUUAAAAGUGCGAGGCUCAACCUCGUGAGGGGACAGAAACUGGUAUUCUUGAGUGUCGGAGAGGAAAGUGGAAUUCCAAGUGUAGCGGUGAAAUGCGUAGAGAUUUGGAAGAACACCAGUGGCGAAGGCGACUUUCUGGACGAUGUCUGACGCUGAGGCGCGAAAGCUAGGGGAGCGAACGGGAUUAGAAACCCGGGUAGUCC
rnacentral:rRNA from 1 species